rnacentral:ncRNA from 1 species
UUUAGUCUUCGGGGCAGGGUGAGAUUCCCGACCGGUGGUAAAGUCCACGAGCUUGAUGAGUGAACGAUUAUUUUUAAUUUGAACGAACGCCGUAUCAAUGAAAAAAUAAUCUGCCCUCACGAGCAGGAACUGGUGAAAUUCCAGUACCGACAGUACAGUCUGGAUGAAAGAAGAUAAAG